rnacentral:rRNA from 1 species
UACAGAGGUCUCAAGCGUUGUUCGGAUUCAUUGGGCGUAAAGGGUGCGUAGGUGGCGCCGUAAGUCGGGCGUGAAAUUUCGGAGCUUAACUCCGAAACUGCAUUCGAUACUGAGGUGCUUGAGGACUGGAGAGGAGACUGGAAUUCAUGGUGUAGCAGUGAAAUGCGUAGAGAUCAUGAGGAAGAUCAGUGGCGAAGGCGGGUCUCUGGACAGUUCCUGACACUGAGGCACGAAGGCCAGGGGAGCAAACGGG